GGGUGAGUAACUCAGUUGGUUAGAGUACCUGGUUUACACCCAGGCUGUCGCGGGUUCGAGUCCUGCCUCACCCACCA
rnacentral:tRNA from 1 species